rnacentral:rRNA from 1 species
GGACUACUGGGGUAUCUAAUCCUGUUCGCUCCCCACGCUUUCGCGCCUCAGCGUCAGUAUGAUGCCAGGUGGCUGCCUUCGCCAUCGACGUUCCUUCCGAUCUCUACGCAUUUCACCGCUACACCGGAAAUUCCGCCACCCUCUCAUCUACUCCAGUACGAUCGUUUGCGAUGCACUUCCUAGGUUAAGCCCAGGGCUUUCACAUCACACUCAUCAUACCGCCUACGCGCCCUUUACGCCCAGUAACUCCGAUUAACGCUCGCACCCUCUGUAUUACCGCGGCUGCUGGCAC